AAUCCGCUUCCCGCCUGGCACUUCCAUGGCAACAAAAGAAUGAAGUUCAUUCGACGAGAAAAACAUGAAAGGAACGAGUUUCAAAAGAAAGAAAAUCAAGUCUUAUCUCGUCAUAAAGAUGUGAAGAAAAUAAGCGAUUUAAUUGUAUUGAGACUUUUGAAAACAACACAAAACAAGGAGGACGAGCAACGCAACGCUGCAGCGAUUGAGAAUUCGACAGUGAAUUGUGACUCUGUGAUGCACGGUUUCGAAGGAUACGACGACACCUGUCACUUCCUCUGUGAUUCAGCAUAUAUGAGAGCCCAUCGAUUCAUCAAAUCACAAAUCACUGACAGUCUUUGGUGGUCGACGAGGAGGUGAAAUUUAUACCAGAAAGAAUACAAAAAUUGAAUACAUCCAGUUGAUGAAUAAUGGCAUACACAGCAUUUAAAAUUCCCGAAGAAAGUCUUUAUGGUGAAUUACCGGAGUCGGCAGCUAAUGGUGAAAACAGCAAAACUUACGACCUGAAGAAGGCUGGAGUGCCCGAUGAGGCCAAAGAAGUUCUUGUUUUUCUUUUUUGCUACUACAAAAGGCUCGGAAGAGUUUCAUCGUUUAUUUUACCAGAUUGAGACUACAGAUGGCAAACACCCUUAUCCUCAAUUCAUGAACGUUGCCGCAAGCAAAGGUGUUUCUCUUAACUCUGCAAACUUAUGGCUACCAUUAUUUCCAGGACAGCAUCAGGUAACGGUGACUUUGAAAGAUGCAGAGGAACACAAAGAAAAGCUAAAAAAGCAUUGCAUACAGGGAAAAAAAAGGAUUUAAUGAGAUAUCGACAUUUAGUGAAUUCUUUGUCCUUGGUUAUCGUUGAUAAAAUGAUCUUGAAAUGUGAUACGACUUCCAUUCUUCAACAUUUUUUUUUUUACACUGUACUAAGUGUUCAACAUUUAAUUUAAGAAACGAAGUAUUGAAUAAAAGCAAAUUAAACCAUUCAAAA